UCAUAAAAGACCUAGAUCACUUGGCUGCCAUGUCAUAAUGAUACUCAAGCAACCUAUUGGAAAUGCCCACAUGAUGAGGAACUAAGACCUCCUGCCAAUGGCCACAACCCUUUUACACUCUUAAAAUUGAGGACCUUAAAGAGCUUCUGCUUAUUACAGUUUUUAUCUAUCAUAUAUCAUAAUAUGCACCCUGUUUUAUACCUGUGGUGAAAAAUCUCCCCCUGUAUUGGAGAAGAGCUAUUAUACAACAAUCAGUUGAUGAUGGACUGGUAUAGAGGUCCCCUCCCAGCUCUCAUUUUCUUUGCUUCUGAGAAAUGUUAUGGACAAGUCGGCAGCAACUCUCCCACGUCCUGUGAGCUCACCAGGUGCAGAUUAUGGGUCGUGCUGCAAGGAUGACACAUAGAACUGAGGCCACUGCACGACUGAGUGCAUGGAGUCCUGUGGCUCCCGCACAAACAGAGAGACUGGGAUGAUGCGGGCGUGGCAUGUUGUCCUCCACACAGAGAUCCCUUCUGCCUGCCUUUCUGAGAGCUUCCCUGUAAGAAACUGCACCCAGCGACAACUUGGCCUGAGCACUGAGGACUGUGCACCCCUGUGCACCCAGGGGUGGGUGCAAGCAGAAUGAGGACCCCUGAGACUUGCCAAUGUCAGACAUAGAGACGCAUUCCAGUCAAGGCCAAGUGGAGCUGCUAGAUUCAGCCCCUGAUUCUUCUCAGGAAGACACCCACUGAGCUUCUGAGGGGUCAAAGACUAGAAGUCAGUUCCACGCACCUUGCAAAGGCCCACUGAUAUGGAUGGGAAGUUGCCCAGAUUGUGCAUUCCCUGGAGACUACUUUUACUCACCUCU